UUCUCACUACGCAUGAGAAUUAUUCAUAUUAUUAUUACGUUCUUCCUUGCCUUGCCAGCUUUUCAAUUUGUUGUGCUAAUACUUUUCCUGAUUAGGAAGUAUUUAGUCACUUCAUGGUAACUUUUCUCCAACAUACAUCUGUUAGUGACCUGCCAAAGACAAUCUGGAAUGUUGAUUAAACCAAACAUGCAUGAAAACUCAGACUCAGGGCUUCAGGAAAUUGAACAAAGAAAAAGAAUGAUAAGUCGAGAAAAGAACAUAGGAACUCUUGCUGUCAAAUUUCCUUGGGAGGUUUAUAGAAUAAUAUAGUUACAAUUCAACCAAGCCUAAGAUACCAACUACUAGGUAUGAGCUGUUAGGAAUAUCAUGGUACUGCAAGGCACUCUUGAGAUCCCCAUUCACUUGACAGGAAAACAUGGCAUAGAAUCAAAUGUUCUAUCUUUACUGAAACAUUGACGAUGAGGUAUCCAAAGCAGCCAGUGCUUCUCUCUCUCUCUCUCUGUCUCUCUCUCUGUGCCUACUUUACUUUUAUUUGUCCUUGCUGAAACGAAUUAAGCAUGAGAAGAUACUAUUUUGGUUGUAUUUCCUUGUUAGAUAGUAGCAACUCGGGCAUUAAAAUGUUGUAAAAGUUUUGAAAGUAUGUGUCUACAAAGAUGAAUGCCAUACACAUACACAAGCACACAAAAUGGUGCUUGGAAGACCCAUUUGACAUCUUGACUGUGA